rnacentral:sRNA from 1 species
AGAUGCUUGACUCAUUGCAUAAAUCUCUCUUCUAAGGAGCUCCAGCCACCUACCACCACAGUUGCCAGGUCUGGAACACCCGCAGUAGAAAACAAGCAGCAGAUUGGGGAUGCUAUUCGGAUGAUAGUCAGAGGGACUCUUGGCAGCUGCAGCAGCAGCAGUGAAUGCCUUGAAGACAGUACUAUGGGAAGUGUUGCAGACACAGUGGCAAGGGUUCUUCGGGGAUGUCUGGAAAACAUGCCGGAAGCUGAUUGCAUUCCCAAAGAGCAGCUGAGCACAUCAUUUCAGUGGGUCACCAAAUGGGUUGAUUACUCUAACAAAUAUGGCUUCGGGUACCAGCUCUCAGACCACACCGUCGGUGUCCUUUUCAACAAUGGUGCUCACAUGAGCCUCCUUCCAGACAAAAAAACAGUUCACUAUUACGCAGAGCUUGGCCAAUGCUCAGUUUUCCCAGCAACAGAUGCUCCUGAGCAAUUUAUUAGUCAAGUGACGGUGCUGAAAUACUUUUCUCAUUACAUGGAGGAGAACCUCAUGGAUGGUGGAGAUUUGCCUAGUGUUACUGAUAUUCGAAGACCUCGGCUCUA